ACAUGGUUGGUUAUGGUGGUGUCCGCUGAUUGGGUCCACCUGACCUCGGCCCCGGUGGAAGUUAUCGGGUGGCAGCAGAGUUGGAAUGGGAUAGGUAGUUCCCCGUUUCCAGGACCCCAGACGGCCUGCUGGGACAGUGUAUAUGAGUCCGGAAUGGGCUGGACCAGGGUCAGGCUAGCCCAGACUUCAGGUACGGGCUGUGAUGACGAGGAGUGGGCUAGUCUCCCGGGUCGGUCACCGCUGAACUCUCAGGAGGAAGCACUCAAUUGAACAAGUGCAGGAACCAGCUGGCUGCCUCAGCACUGACAGAAGCAAAUUCCAUUUGCUUGGACCCACUGCAUUCCAUCCCUUGUGGAAGAGAGCAUGUAAGCAAGACAGGACCUUCAGGCCUCUGAAAAAAAAAGGAUCAAAGAACUGAAACUCACCAGAUCACCUCACCAGAUGCUGGACCCCUCAUUCACCAUGUUUGCUUCCUUGCCUCUCCCUAGUUCUUAUUUUCUUACACAUUGUUACAUUUCUUCCCUGCUAUAUCAACCCCUAGUUCUAGUCAGUCAUGGAGAUGGAUUUGAGACUGAUCUCCCAUCCCCUCAGCUACACCACCUGAUUAAAGCCUUCUUCCUUGGCAAUAAUCAUUGUCUCAGUCAUUGGCUUUCUGUGCAGGGAGCAGCAGGACCUAGACUAAACCCCUGGUGUUUUGGUAACAAAAUAAGGCCAGGCACAGAAAGACAAACAUCACAUGUUCACACUUAUUUGUGGGAUCUAAAUACCAGAACAAUUGAACUCAUAGAGAUAGAGAGUAGAAGGAUUAUUACCAGAGGCUGGGAAGUGUGGUUGAAGGAGUUGGUGGGCAGUGGGGAUGUAGAAUGUGUCCAAAAAAAGGAAUAGAAUGAAGAAGUCCUAGUAUUUGAUAGCACAACAGGGUGACUAUAGUCAAUAAUCAUUUAACUGUACAUUUUAAAAUAACUUAAAAGGUGUAAUUGGGUUGUUUGUAACACAAAUGAUAAAUGCUUGAAGGAAUUGCUACUCCAUUUUCCAUGAUGUGAUUAUUGUGCAUUGCAUGCCUGUAUCAAAAUGCCUCAUGUACCUCAUAAAUAUAUAUACCUACUAUGUACCCACAAAAAUUUUUUAAGAAAAUAUACCACUGCUUUUCCAUUUGUCAAGUGAAAAAC
rnacentral:lncRNA from 1 species